rnacentral:rRNA from 1 species
ACUGGGAUAACUCCGGAAACCGGGGCUAAUACCGGAUAAUAUUUUGAACCGCAUGGUUCAAUAGUGAAAGACGGUUUCGGCUGUCACUUAUAGAUGGACCCGCGCCGUAUUAGCUAGUUGGUAAGGUAACGGCUUACCAAGGCGACGAUACGUAGCCGACCUGAGAGGGUGAUCGGCCACACUGGAACUGAGACACGGUCCAGACUCCUACGGGAGGCAGCAGUAGGGAAUCUUCCGCAAUGGGCGAAAGCCUGACGGAGCAACGCCGCGUGAGUGAUGAAGGUCUUCGGAUCGUAAAACUCUGUUGUUAGGGAAGAACAAAUUUGUUAGUAACUGAACAAGUCUUGACAGUACCUAACCAGAAAGCCACGGCUAACUACGUGCCAGCAGCCGCGGUAAUACGUAGGUGGCAAGCGUUAUCCGGAAUUAUUGGGCGUAAAGCGCGCGUAGGCGGUUUCUUAAGUCUGAUGUGAAAGCCCACGGCUCAACCGUGGAGGGUCAUUGGAAACUGGAAACUUGUGCAGAACGAGAGU